rnacentral:rRNA from 1 species
AACGAACGCUGGCGGCAUGCCUAACACAUGCAAGUCGAACGAGACCUUCGGGUCUAGUGGCGCACGGGUGCGUAACGCGUGGGAACCUGCCCUUAGGUUCGGGAUAACUCCCCGAAAGGGGUGCUAAUACCGGAUAAUGUCUUCGGACCAAAGAUUUAUCGCCUUUGGAUGGGCCCGCGUUGGAUUAGCUAGUUGGUAGGGUAAAAGCCUACCAAGGCGACGAUCCAUAGCUGGUCUGAGAGGAUGAUCAGCCACACUGGGACUGAGACACGGCCCAGACUCCUACGGGAGGCAGCAGUGGGGAAUAUUGGACAAUGGGCGAAAGCCUGAUCCAGCAAUGCCGCGUGAGUGAUGAAGGCCUUAGGGUUGUAAAGCUCUUGUACCCGGGAUGAUAAUGACAGUACCGGGAGAAUAAGCUCCGGCUAACUCCGUG